rnacentral:rRNA from 1 species
GAUGAACGCUGGCGGCGUGCCUAACACAUGCAAGUCGAACGAAGCACCUUACCUGAUUCUUCGGAUGAAAGUUUGGUGACUGAGUGGCGGACGGGUGAGUAACGCGUGGGUAACCUGCCCUGUACAGGGGGAUAACAGCUGGAAACGGCUGCUAAUACCGCAUAAGCGCACGCGGUGACAUCUCCUUGUGUGAAAAACUCCGGUGGUACAGGAUGGGCCCGCGUCUGAUUAGCCGGUUGGCAGGGUAACGGCCUACCAAGGCAACGAUCAGUAGCCGGUCUGAGAGGAUGAACGGCCACAUUGGAACAGGGACACGUUCCAAACUCAUACGGGAGGAAGCAGUGGGGAAUACUGAACAAUGGGGGAAACCCUGAUGCAGCAACGCCGCGUGAGUGAAGAAGUAAUUCGGUAUGUAAAGCUCUAUCAGCAGGGAAGAUAAUGACGGUACCUGACUAAGAAGCUCCGGCUAAAUACGUG